GUGACUGGUGCUUGGUGGGGUGUAGCCCAUUGGCUGUUAGAACAAGUUUGUUGGACUGAAGACUGACACCUUCAGAGCAGGGCACAAGGAACUCUGGCAACUGGACAAGCUGUCAUGGGGAGAAGACUGGGAGCUCUGCUGGGGCUUCUGUGGGCCCAGGUUGGCUGGGUGAGAGGGUUCCAGGUGGAGCAGAGUCCUCCAGCCCUGAGUCUCCAAGAGGGAACCGACUCUACUCUGCGGUGUAAUUUUUCUGCCACUGUGGACAACGUGCAGUGGUUCCGACAGAAUCCUGGGGGCAGCCUCAUCAAUCUGUUUUUUGUGGCUUCAGGGAAGAAACAGAACGGAAGGUUAGAGGCAAUGGUUAAUUCUAAGGACCGCUAUAGCACCCUUCACAUCACGGCCUCCCAGCUGGAAGACUUAGGCACCUACCUGUGUGCAGCAGAGGCACAGUGCUCCCAGGUCACCUGCAGGCUGAGCUCAAACUGCAGCUGGGCUUCUGCCAGCAUUCGCAUAGCGUUAGGUUUCCUACUCAUGUUGGCAGUACUUUAUCCUUCCAUAAUUACAAAUAUAUAGUGCUGACAUGGAGCUAUCAGAGAUUCUGGGCAGUAUUCUCCUAGGGUCAAAUCCGUGUUUAAGUGGGCAAUGAAAGUGUUCAACACAGCCAAAGUUAGACCCUCACUAAAUAAGUUAUAAUGGAGAGAAACUUACAAACAUCCAUAAUUCUUGGGACAACUUAUCCCUUAAUAGCAACACACGGCUUAGUUUCUAAGGAAGGUAAAAAAAAGUGUUAUCAAACUUUGCCAUGCUUGUAUUCAUAAUCUUUAGU